UACGAAGGGGGCUAGCGUUGCUCGGAAUCACUGGGCGUAAAGCGCACGUAGGUGGGUCGCUAAGUCGGGGGUGAAAUCCUGGAGCUCAACUCCAGAACUGCCUUCGAUACUGGCGAUCUUUGAGUCCGGGAGAGGUGGGUGGAACUGCGAGUGUAGAGGUGAAAUUCGUAGAUAUUCGCAAGAACACCAGUGGCGAAGGCGGCUCACUGGACUGGUAUUGACGCUGAGGUGCGAAAGCGUGGGGAGCAAACAGG
rnacentral:rRNA from 1 species